AGGAAUGUGGCUCAGUGGUAGAGUGCUUGCCUAGCAUGCAUGAAGCCCUGGGUUCCAUUCCUC
rnacentral:tRNA from 1 species